rnacentral:rRNA from 1 species
UGGGGAAUAUUGCACAAUGGGCGCAAGCCUGAUGCAGCCAUGCCGCGUGUGUGAAGAAGGCCUUCGGGUUGUAAAGCACUUUCAGCGGGGAGGAAGGCGUUAAGGUUAAUAACCUUGGCGAUUGACGUUACCCGCAGAAGAAGCACCGGCUAACUCUGUGCCAGCAGCCGCGGUAAUACGGAGGGUGCAAGCGUUAAUCGGAAUUACUGGGCGUAAAGCGCACGCAGGCGGUCUGUCAAGUCGGAUGUGAAAUCCCCGGGCUCAACCUGGGAACUGCAUUCGAAACUGGCAGGCUAUAGUCUUGUAGAGGGGGGUAGAAUUCCAGGUGUAGCAGUGAAAUGCGUAGAGAUCUGGAGGAAUACCGGUGGCGAAGGCGGCCCCCUGGACAACGACUGACGCUCAGGUGCGAAAGCGUGGGGAGCAAACAGG